GUCCUGUCUUUUCAAAAGGAAAAGCAUUUGUGUUGUGUAUGGGAAUUGCUAAGUCAUGGCCUGAAACAAUGAUUGAGCACCUGGUGAAAGGACAGCCAGCUCUGGGAGCACAGGUGGAAGCAAUACCUCUUCCUAAGCCUGAUUUAAGAGCCAGCUGCCACACAGAAGGAUUUCUGUCUAGAGAGCCUUGCUUUUGGAGUCUUGAUUCUUGGGAUGGUGCUUCCCAUCUGCUGCAUGGCUGUGAAUAACAGCGAUGGGGAGAGCCAGAGGAGUGCUUUGCUAGCUGGCUGAGCAGGAAACCUUGGAGUGUGCGUUAUGGAGAGAGGCUGUUGUGCAACCAGAGCCUUUUCUGCCCUCUGUGCCCGAGCUCAGACAGCUGGGGUAGGGAGCUCUGAUGGAUCUACUAAAGGCAUUCUGAGGAAGUUCUUGGUUAUUAAUUCUUCCUCUGGAUUCCCUUGGGUCUGGCUUGGAGCACAAAGUCUGUGACAUGUGGAUAGGCUGGGAAUAAAUGAUACGUCAGUAAAAAGAAUUGCUACUGC
rnacentral:lncRNA from 1 species